rnacentral:rRNA from 1 species
UUUAACUGAAGAGUUUGAUCAUGGCUCAGAUUGAACGCUGGCGGCAGGCUUAACACAUGCAAGUCGAGCGGGGGAAGGUAGCUUGCUACUGGACCUAGCGGCGGACGGGUGAGUAAUGCUUAGGAAUCUGCCUAUUAGUG